rnacentral:rRNA from 1 species
UGGGGAAUUUUGGACAAUGGGCGAAAGCCUGAUCCAGCAAUGCCGCGUGUGUGAAGAAGGCCUUCGGGUUGUAAAGCACUUUUGUCCGGAAAGAAAUCCUUGGCUCUAAUACAGUCGGGGGAUGACGGUACCGGAAGAAUAAGCACCGGCUAACUACGUGCCAGCAGCCGCGGUAAUACGUAGGGUGCAAGCGUUAACCGGAAUUACUGGGCGUAAAGCGUGCGCAGGCGGUUUGCUAAGACCUAUGAUGAAAUCCCCGGGCUCAACCUGGGAACUGCAUUGGUGACUGGCAGGCUAGAGUAUGGCAGAGGGGGGUAGAAUUCCACGUGUAGCAGUGAAAUGCGUAGAGAUGUGGAGGAAUACCGAUGGCGAAGGCAGCCCCCUGGGCCAAUACUGACGCUCAUGCACGAAAGCGUGGGGAGCAAACAGGAUUAGAUACCCUGGUAGUCCACGCCCUAAACGAUGUCAACUAGUUGUUGGGGAUUCAUUUCCUUAGUAACGUAGCUAACGCGUGAAGUUGACCGCCUGGGGAGUACGGUCGCAAGAUUAAAACUUAAA